rnacentral:rRNA from 1 species
CACGGGGAACUUGCCUCUAGUACGGCGAGUGAAGCGGCAAAAGCUCAAAUUUGAAAGCUAGCACCUUCGGUGUUCGCGUUGUAAUUUGAAGAUAGUUUCCUUGAGUAGUCCUUUAUCUAUGUUCCUUGGAACAGGACGUCAUAGAGGGUGAGAACCCCGUAUGAUUUUGGAUACUACUCUUUGUGGGAUUCUAUCGAAGAGUCGAGUUGUUUGGGAAUGCAGCUCUAAGUGGGUGGUAAAUUCCAUCUAAAGCUAAAUAUUGGCGAGAGACCGAUAGCGAACAAGUACAGUGAUGGAAAGAUGAAAAGAACUCUGAAGAGAGAGUGAAAAAGUACGUGAAAUUGCUGAAAGGGAAGGGCUUGAGGUCAGACUUGGUGUUUAAUGAUUAUCAGUUCUUCUUGGACUGUGCACUCGUUUUUCACCGGGCCAAUAUCAGUUUUAGCGGUAGAGUACCCCUUGAAAUGUGGCUUCCUUCGGGGAGUGUUAUAGUCUUGGGGAGAUCUACUUGCUGGGACUGAGGACUGCGCUUCGGCAAGGAUAUUGGCGUAAUGACCUUAAGCCGCCCGUCUUGAAC